AAGUGAUUCGCCCACCUCAGCCUCCCAAAGUGCUGGGAUUACAGGCACGAGCCACCAUGCCUAGCCAAUUCUUUAUCACUUAGUAAUUCUGUCCUAUUUCCCAGCUUAUUUCCUUCACAGCAUGAAAUUGUGUUUAUUGUUUGUCUCCCUAUCAGGAACCUUGUUUGUCUUAUUCACUGUUGAAUUAUUAGCACAUAGUUCAGAGUUUGGUGUGUAAUAGGAGCUUGAUAAAUAUUUAUUUAUUGAAUAAUGAGAAGCAUACUUGGUUUCAUGUACAUGAAUACCUUGGAAUUUUUAAAACCACUUUCUCUUCCACAGACUGGAGUUGAAGGACACAUAAGAUAAUCCACAGGUGGCCUAGCACGGUGCCCUGGGGCCCUGGAGCACCGGGAUUUAUAGCGUGCCUGCUGGGGAGGUGGCUGUAGGAGAGGCCUGUGGGGUUGGGAUGUCGGGGCUGCCCAUAGACCCAGAGCAGAGCGUGCAGGAGCCACGGCACACUGGCUUUGUCCUGGGGCUGGACAUGGGCAGUUCUGUGAUCCGCUGCCACGUCUGUGACCAGGCUGCACGAGUUUGCAGCUCCAGCAAAGGUGGAAAGUCUUUAUCCUCAAAUUAGCUGGGUAGAAAUUGAUCCUGAUGUUCUUUGGAUUCAAUUUGUUGCCAUAUUAAAAGAAGCAGUCAAAGCUGCAGGAAUACAGAUGAAUCAGAUUGAAAUCUUGACAUUUCAACACAGAGAGCAACUUUUAUUAUGUGGAACCAGAAAAUGGGAAAUCAUUUUCACAACUGUAUAAGUUGGCAAGACUUAAGAGCUAUUGAACUUGUAAAAUCUUGGAAUAAUUAUCUUCUAAUGAAGCUAUUUCACAGUUCUUGCCAAGUGCGUCACUUUUUCACUGGAAGUAAAUGAGUUUUUGCAGCCAAUUUGUUCACUUUCACAACCCAGCAGACUUCUUUGAGAUUGGUCUGCAUUUUACAGAACCUGAGCAAAAGGCAGCUGAAGAAGAAAAUUGUUGCUUUGAAACUAUUGAUACCUGACUGUUAUGUAAGCUCACAAAAGGUUCUGUAUAUGCCACAGAUUUUUCAAAUGCUAGUACAACUGGACUUUUUGACCCAUAUAAGAUGUGUUGGAGUGGUAUCAUUACCUCCUUAAUUUCAAUACCAUUUCUCUUGUACCUCCCGUGUGGGACAUAAGCCACAAUUUUGGAUCCUGGAUGAAGAGAUAUCUGGUGUGCCUGUACCACUAGGUGCCUUGGUUGCUGACCAGUAGUCAGCCAUGUUUGGAGAGUGUUGCUUCCAGACAGGUGAUGUGAAAAUGACCAUGGGAACUGGGACAUUUUUUGAUAUUAACACUGGAAAUAGCCUUCAACAGACAAUUGGAGGUUUUUAUCCAUUAAUUGGGUGAAAAGAUAGGGCAAGAAGUUAUAUGCUUAGGUGAAAGCAAUGCAGGAGACACUGGUACUGCCACAAAAUGGACUUAACAGUUAGAGCUUUUCACAGAUGCUGCUGAGACUGAAAAAAUGGCCAAAAGUGCAGAGGACUCUGAAGGAGUUUGUUUUGUUCCAUCUUCUAGUGGAUUACAGGCUCCAUUAAAUGACCCCUGGGCAUAUGCCUCUUUUAUGGGGUUUGAAGCCUUCCACCAGUAAAUACUAUCUCUUAAGAGCAAUAUUGAAGUCAGUAGCUUUCAGAAACAAACAGUUAUAUGAGAUGAUGCAGAAAGAGAUUCAUAUUCCUAUAACAAAAAACGUGGGCAGAUGGAGGAGUCUGUGAGAACGAUUUUGUCAUGCAGAUGACUUCAGACCUGAUGAAAGAGAAUACAGACAGAACUGCUGACGUUGGCAUGUCAUUCCUGGGUACAGUUUAUCUAGCUGGCCUGCUAUUGGGUUUUAACAAGGAGGAACUAAAGAAACUGAGACAAAGUGAAGUGGUUUUCAGGCCACAGAAGAAAUGUCAAGAAUAUGCAACAAGUAUGGAAAACUGGGCCAGAGCAGUGAAAUGCUCCAUAAAUUGGUAUAACAAGACAUAGCACUAAAUGAAAUGAUCAAAACCGUAGAUGGCUGAUUUAUGUGACAUCCAGAUGAGAUGAAGCUCAGGGAUAACGAAUAUGACAAUGACUGAAAGGAGAAAAUUUUAAAUAAGCUUCAUAACUUAAGAAGCAUUGCUUUAAAAAACAAAACAAAACAAAAGCUCUUAUUUUUUUCCCCUAAACCAUGGUAAGGCAGCAAUACCUCAAAACUUUAUAUCUUUUAUUUUGUAGCAAAUUCCAAAGGACAUUAGUCAUUUCCAAUCAUAUUUUGACAGCUAUAGGUUCUCUUCCUUUUUAUACUGAGUCAGUGGUACACAGGAACAUAAUGAUUUUCCUUCCAAGCUAAUGGUUCUGGGUCAAGCACCGUGCACAUUGUUCCAAAACUAUGUGAAAUAUUAUUUCUUUAAUGCUUUAAAAUUAAGUGGGCUAUUUGAAGUGCACAUAGCUAAAAAGAAUGACUGAGAAAAUGUGGAAUUUUGAAACAUUAAUAUUUUAUGUUUAAAGCCAUAAUUUUCUAAUAUUAUAUCCAAAUAUGAGCUUAGUAUGACCCUCUCAGACAAGCUUAUGAGUUAAUGCUUUCCUUUACUGGUCUUAAAGACACUGCCUUAAUUUUUCCUUGUUCAACCAAAAUCUGAGCAUUCUUUCUACAUUGAAAACACUGAAAACCUAAUUUUAGUUAAUGAACUAAAAAGAAUACUGAUUUUUAAGAAACAGAAAAAUAUUACUUAUUUUCCUUCUCAAAUAACAUUUCUUUCAAAAACUUCUGGCUGAAGUAUAACAUGCUGUUAGUUAAUGUAAAUCUUCCCUUUCUCUUGUUCUUUAUCUUUCUUCAUUGUUUAGAUGCUUAUAUAAAUGUCUUUCGUUUUCAUUAAGUGCCUAAUUGACAGAGCUUAAUUUGAAAAAAGUGCCCUAAUUUAUUGACCACUUAAGAAUUGUCUUUAUUGGGGUAUUUAUUUGUUUCUGCAUCUUUUUGAUGCUUGUUCAGUCUACUCAUCCCUCUGCGUAUGUGCGGUGGAUAGCUGAUAGAGGGGAGGAGAGUGCAUCUAUGCUCAGGAUUGCCCUUUGGCCACUUAGCCAGAGAUCCACAGGGCACAGCAGGGACACUCUCAUAUUCUCAGACUUUCUUGCAAGAAACAGUGAAGAGGAGUAAGUUGUGAGUAGUGUCAAGCUGGAUGUAGAAUUGUCCUAAGGCAGUUGACCCCACCUUCUAACCUGUUUUGCCUUUAUUUGCCCCUCCCUACAUUUGGGGUAGGUUCCAUUUGGAUAUGCAGCAAUAAUGACUUUAUUUCUCUCUUGGUCAGGAUUUAUCGCAUAAAAUCCUUUUAUUAUAGAGCUAGCUAUUUAGUUACAUAAUAAUCUAAGGGAGAGACUUCUAAUUUUGUUUUUGCUGUCAUAUAUGUCUAUUUUGGAGACAGGUAUGAUAAAACUAGAAGUUAAAUUGCAUUUCUGCAAGUUCCAUUUAAAUAAACUUCAGAUAUCUUCUUAAUCUAAUUUUCUGAUGAAGGCAUUGUAGCAACUAUAUAUUAUCAUUAAAUCUACUAAUGAAGAUUUGGAAAUAUUUUUAGUAUUAAUAAAUAGAGGUGUUUUAUUUACUAUAAAAA